rnacentral:rRNA from 1 species
UACGAAGGGGGGCUAGCGUUGCUCGGAAUUACUGGGCGUAAAGCGCACGUAGGCGGCUUUCUAAGUCCGCUGUGAAAGUCCAGGGCUCAACCCUGGGAUGCCGGUGGAUACUGUCGGGCUCGAGUCCGGAAGAGGAGUGUGGAAUUCCUGGUGUAGCGGUGAAAUGCGCAGAUAUCAGGAAGAACACCCGUGGCUAAGGCGGUUCUCUAGUACGGUACUGACGCUGAGACGCGAAAGCGUGGGGAGCGAACAGG